rnacentral:rRNA from 1 species
CUUAAAUGAAUUGACGGGGACCCGCACAAGCAGAGGAGCAUGUGGCUUAAUUCGAUGCAACGCGAAGAACCUUACCCAGGUUUGACAUGUGACUGCACGGCCGAUGAAAGUUUGGCCUCCUUCGAGGGUGUCACACAGGUGCUGCAUGGCUGUCGUCAGUUCGUGCCGUGAGGUGUUUGGUUAAGUCCAGCAACGAACGCAACCCCUGUGUCUAGUUGCCAGCGCGUAAUGGCGGGAACUCUAGACAGACUGCCCGUUCACACGGGAGGAAGGUGGGGAUGACGUCAAGUCAGUAUGGCCCUUACAUCUGGGGCUGCACACGUGCUACAAUGGCCGGUACAAAGGGAAGCCAAGCCGCAAGGCCGAGCCAAUCCCCAAAACCGGCCCCAGUUCAGAUUGGGGUCUGCAACCCGACCCCAUGAAGUCGGAUUUGCUAGUAACGGCGCAUCAGCUACGGCGCCGUGAAUACGUUCCCGGGCCUU